GCUUACUGUUUUAGUUGGGCCUAGUUUAACCUCUGUAUGUUAUUGAUAAUUUCCUACAUAGUGUGGUUUGAUAUUCUUUGUUUUCUUUUUGCGUCUAUAAUCAAACGUGCCACCAGUCUUUAUCGUCUGCUCUGUAACGACAUUAUAAUAUUCUCAUGGAUAUUUACGUUGGUUCAAGGUUCACCCAAAAAAAAAAAGGAAGAUCUGAUUUCUACCAGUAAUAAGACUACAGUAUACUAAAUGACACAAGAUGUUCUUUCUCUGUUAUCACUUACAUUAGACAUCAAAGCAUGAAAAGGUUUAACAGUCUGUGCCUACAACAUAGAUUAUGAUAGAUCUCCAGGACUAAAACUAAAUUGCAAUCAGUAUAUCACAAGUAUUAUAAUAAAAGCAUCUAAUCUGCUUCAGUGGCCAGAACUGGGUGAAUCCUCUCAAACUUGAAUCAGGAACUAGGCAUACUUAAUGAGCGUCAAGCUGAUACAGUAGCUGCACAGAAGAAUUUAUACAAGGAAGUGAAAAGUGAUGUAAAAGGCAACUAAUACGUCCAUCUACCAUAGUUAAAACAAGAAUCUGCAAACGCCCAUAAUUGCAAUAGUCUUGAUAUAGGCCUAUACAUUUUUGGCUUUAUAUGCAAUUGUUAGGUUUGAU